rnacentral:rRNA from 1 species
CAAGCUUUGCUUAAGCAAAAGGAGGACAUUUCAGCACUACGUCACUUUGUAUUAAAUGGCAAAUGUGAGAUGCAGUGUAUCGAAUGUUCAAUUCUAAUAUGAGAAAUUAACGGUUUAAGCUCACCUUAAGUGAGGCCAUUCACCCAUAGAGAGUGCUAGGCCCGCAUAACGUUAAUGAUUACUAGAGAGAGAGAGGGAGAAAGAGCAAUUCCCAGGAGUUGUGUUGCUAGAUAGUGCAGCCCUAAGCCAUAAGCGUGGCGGCAUACUCCGUCUAAAACUAAAUAUAACCAUGAGACCGAUGAGGCAAAGUUGAAAAUAACUCUUAAUAGUGAGUUAAAUAUAAUAAACAGUAUGUGGAACUGCUUAGAGGCUAAGCCCGAUGAUCCCGAAUAUGCAUGAUGGGAAAUUUCUCAUUAUGAAUUAUAUGAAUGGUGCAUUUUUUCCAUACCGCUAUAGACACCUUAUGUAUUUACAAGCACACGCAAUGGGCGUCUAUAGAUGUCAUUCAUGUCAACGGAUUAACAUCAUAAAAUCAGCUUUAAAUUCCGUUCAAAUUAUUAUCCUCGCAUUUCACUUCAGAAUAAAAGUUUUUGAUUUGAGAGAUCGUUAAUAGAUUUAUAUUUAUACAAUGCUUAAACAUAUUUACAUAUUUUAUAAUGACAUAUAAGUCAAUCGACUUAUAUGUUUAUUAUAUGCACUUAUAUGAUUUACGAUACGAAAGUUUCGUUCAGGUUGCCUUCGGGACUCAUCUUGAAACACGGACCAAGGAGUCUAACAUAUUUGCAAGUUAUUGGGUUCUUUAAAAACCUAAUAGCGAAAUUAACAUGACAAAAUUAAUAUGGAAUUAAUUUUUAGUUGUAGCAUAUUUAGACUAUUAAUUCAAGCCCGGGGCCUCUAUCUAGAAGGCCGAAACGAUCUUUGUCUAUUCUCCUCAAACUGUAGAUGGGUGAGAAACUCAUCUUGCUUGGUAUGAACGUUGUUCUUGUGAUAUAAUGUGGCCAGUGAGCCACUUUUGGUACGCAGAACUAGCUUUAUGAGAUGCGCCAAACGUAAUGUUACGGCGCCCAAAUUAAGAAUUUAUACAGAUACCCUGAAAGGCGUUGAUUGCUUAAAACAGCAGGACGGUGCACAUGAAAGUCGCAAUCCGCUGAGUAGUGUGUAACAACUCACCUGCCGAAGGAACUAGCCCUUAAAAUGGAUAGUCUUUAAGUUGAACACCUAUACAUUACCGCUUAAGUAAAUGUUUGAAAUUCAAUUAAUUUGGAUUUGUAAACUUUAAAACUUUAGCGAGUAGGAGAAUACAACGGCGAGCGUAGAAGCGUUUGGCAUAAGACUGCAUGGAACCGCCACUGAUGCAGAUCUUGAUGGUAGCAGCAAAUAAUCGAAUGAAAGCUGUGAGGACUAAAGUGGAGAAGGGUUUCGUGUGAAAAAUGGUAGAUCACGAGUUAGUCGGUCCCAACUUCAAGGCGAAAGCUGAAAAUUUUCAAGCUAUAUAUUAAAAAUAUAUAUGUAUAUACAAAAAUGAUGUAUAAAAACGCUUGAAAAUAAUGGAAUGGAAGGGAAUACGGCUCCAACUCCGCAACUGUUGAAUAUCCGUUUGCUUAUGAAAUGUGAGCUUUGAGCUCAUCCUGGCAACAGGAAUUGCUAUAAAUUAGCCGUCGAGAAAUGUCGGAAGUGUGUUCUUUUUUGUUUUAUAAUCUUACCAAGCUGGAAGUCUAUCGAAGAGCGAUAUGGUAGAUAGGCUAAAGAAGUAUGACAUUUACUGUUGUGUCGAUAUUUUCUCCUCGGGCCUUGAAAGUUUAUGAUUGGACCACCCAAACUUCUCAACAGACCGUACCAAUAUUCACAGUUGGUCCCCAAGGUGAAGAGUCUUUAAUCAAUAGAAUAAUAUAGGUAAGGGGAAGCGGAAAAUUAAAUCCAUAACUUUGGGCAAGGAUUGGCUCUGAAGUUUUAGAUAGUCGGACAUGUUUGGGAGGCAAUAAUAUGGUUUAUGUACUCGGUCUGGGUAAAUAGAGAGAUUUACUAAUAACAAUUAUGUAACUAAUUGUGGAAGUUUCUUGCUGAAAUUUUUAAGAAAUUAUCGCAACAUAUAUCUUUUUUAAAUCAUAACGAUUAUCAAUUCAGAACUGGCGUGUACUUGGAGAAUACGACUCUCCACUUAAAAGAAAGCGUUGUGAUGGCACUAACGGGUGUUGACACUAUGUAAUUUCUGCCCAAUGCUUUGAAUAAAGUGCAGAAACUCAAGUAACCGCGAGAAACGACGGAAAAAAGUAUGCGAUGAAUAUAUUAUCUCUCAGGUCUAGUGGUUAUUGUCUUAAACGAAGUUUCGAGGUUUCUAUUAAGCAAACUUCUUUUGAUAUCGUUAAAACUUCUUCAUUCGGUACAUUGUUGUUUAUUAUCAUAUGGUACUUGCGUGCAUUGUAGCGGACGGGCGGACGACAUAACUUUUCAUUGCAAAAGUAAUGUUUCGAUCCUCGAUUUCCUUCAUUCCAUUACCUCUUAUGGAAAUUAUAAAACAAAUGGAUUUUGCAAUAUUUACGAACCGUUUUUUUCUAGCGUUAAACUUCGGAAAUCUUUGUAAAAAGUUUAAAAUAUCAAAAUGACAGACUAACAACACGAAUAGCUUUAGGCGUUAAAAAUCGGUGGACGUAAUAAUUCAUAGUUUCACAGUUUUUCGAAUGAUUCAAU